UAGGGAAUCUUGCGCAAUGGGCGAAAGCCUGACGCAGCGACGCCGCGUGCGGGACGAAGGCCUUAGGGUUGUAAACCGCUUUCAGCAGGGACGAAGCGAAAGUGACGGUACCUGCAGAAGAAGGUCCGGCCAACUACGUGCCAGCAGCCGCGGUAAUACGUAGGGACCGAGCGUUGUCCGGAUUCAUUGGGCGUAAAGAGCUCGUAGGCGGUUGCUCAAGUCGAAUGUGAAACCUCGAGGCUCAACCUCGAGCCUGCAUUCGAUACUGGGCGGCUAGAGUCUGGUAGGGGGAUCUGGAAUUCCUGGUGUAGCGGUGGAAUGCGCAGAUAUCAGGAGGAACACCGGUGGCGAAGGCGGGAUCCUGGGCCAGUACUGACGCUGAGGAGCGAAAAGCGUGGGGAGCAAACAGGAUUAGAUACCCUGGUAGUCCACGCCGUAAACGAUGGGCGCUAGGUGUGGGAGGUCAUCGACUCCUUCCGUGCCGCAGCUAACGCAUUAAGCGCCCCGCCU
rnacentral:rRNA from 1 species